rnacentral:misc_RNA from 1 species
GUGAAUCAUCGAAUCUUUGAACGCAUAUUGCGCCCGUCAGUCCUCUGACGGGCAUGCCUGUUCGAGCGUCAUUUCACCCCUCAGGCCCUAGCCGCCUGGCGUUGGGGCGCUGCGGCCCGCCCGCAGGCCCCCAAAUCUAGCGGCGGACCCGCCCGGCCCUGAGCGUAGUAGGCAAAAAAACCCUCGCUCCGGCGGCCGUGGCGCGGCCCUGCCUAGCCCACACCCAACGGCGUGGCGACGCGCCGUCCUUAGUUGACCUCGGAUCAGGUAGGACUACCCGCUGAACUUAAGCAUAUCAAUAAGCGGAGGA